UAAAUUUCUCAUAUUUCCAACAAAAUCAAUGCAUCCAGAACACAUAUAUGCUAGCAGAAAAAAUUGCAGAUUGUCAUAACCUUGAUCUCAUAUGAAGUAACAUUAGUAGAAAACGAAUAAAAUCUUAAAUGGCUUGUACAUUAGGAGAAGGCAAAUAGAUAUGCCGUGUCCAACUGUCCAGAAGAACGAACAUGGUCAUCAGGGGAAAAGAAGAAAUAUACAACACUGGUUCGCUGUUUCCUAAUCAAACAUAUGGUUGGCUUAUCUGGAUAAUCCAAAUUGGUGUUGCUUGCCAGUAAAAUUCGGGGCCGGGAUACUCUGCAUAAAUGUGAUCGAUCUUGUGCCUCAUUUGCACAAAAGGGUAAGAAAAUCAUUUAAAGCACAAAUCCUAGUAACCUAUGGGUUAUAACAAUUAACCCAUAGUAAAGAAAAUACGUAGACGCAUUAUCAACGGCUGCAACCAGAACUAAACGAUCAUCUUUAUCUUUACCAAAUAAUAAAGAGAAUUAGGUUUUUGUCGUCCGUCAUUGUCAUGUUUUCAAAAAAGCCCCUAUUGUUUGUUGAAUUCAACUCGCAGUCCUUUAUCAAGUGAGUUCCUAAAAAACGUUUCAUUGUUGCAAAAGAGCCCCUGCAUUAGUUAAAAUUUAGCCCGCAGUCUGCAGUCAGCCCUUAUAUUCCUUAUCCAUUCCAAGACUCCACCGACGGCCACUCGCCGCCGCUUGGCGCCGGCGUGCACGACGCCGCUCCGACGACCCCUCGCCACCCGGCGUCACCGGCAGCCACCAGCAGGCCGCUGUCCCGUUUCCUCUCAUCCUCCUGCUCACGCCUGCGUCCCACCAUCGUCAGCGAGGAUCACCUCCAGCCUCCCCUUCCUCUGCUCCUCCUCCUCACCUCGCAGUCGAGCGCCGCUCCUGCAGCACCUCCAUCGUCCGCCUCUGUUUGCCGGUGCCCCAUCGCAUGUACCUUCAUCCCACCGCCACCUCCUGCCCUGCGUCGCCUGCCACACACCGCAUCGACCAGGACCGCGUCCCUUCCCAAACGGCCGCGAUGAUGGAGGGCGCCGGCGCGCCGCCCAGCUCCUGACCGACGGAUUCGCCGGCUCCCUGCUCCUCGGGGAAGAGAGGAACAAAGGCGAAGGAGAAGGGGCACAAGGUGAGGGAGGCGGUCGCCGGCGAUGGCAGCUCCGGUGAGCCGCAGGCAGGCAGAGAGACGAGCUCCUCUUGAGGCGGCCGGGCUCGGUGCGGGCUGGUUCAUCCGGAUUGAGCCCUUCCUGCCCGGGCGUCUCCAUCGCCAUGGACGGCCUGCACAGCCCCGACGCCUGCUUCUCUCUUGGGAGGGCCAUGUCGCCUCAGGUCGGGCCCCCCAUCGGCCCGCCGGACGUAGGCAGGUAAGGACGGACGGCGGCUGAGAUUGGGCCUCGCCUUCUUCUUCUCUGGUAAAGAAAGAAUUGGUUCUUUGGUGCGUUUUGCUGGGUGGGCGGCCUCGCUGAAUUGGUUGCCUCUGUUUUUUUCAUUUGUCAUCGAAUGUCCACCGACAGAGACCAGCACCCUCUGGAUCGCCAAGCUCUGUUCAGACCAAAAGAUAAGCGCGGAUAAGUACAAUUCACCAUAAUCUACAAGUGUAUAUCAUCGAUCAGUAUAUGUUUGUCAUUGCCAAGUAGAUAUACUGCUGCAGAUUGCCCAAUGGAUAAAGCAAUAGAGCAGUGCUACACACACGAUGAUGUGCGCACGAUUCAUGCACGACAACAGAUCCCUGUCCGUCCAUGCAUGUAGCAGAGUCCAGCAGACCGUUUGAUCCCGCAUCGUUCAUCUGUCGUGCAUACUGUUGUCGUCUGCGCAGCAGUUCCGUUAUUGAUGGCCUAGCCACUAAACAGUGAAUGAAGGAGUCAGAGGUAGCUUGAAGUGCAAAUGCUUCACCGGCUCUGAUAAAACUCAUGUCUGCACAUGGAGCAGUACAAGCUAGCUACGACGCUGGAUCGAUUUCAUCCACUGGCUGUGGACGAAUGUACAUGAAUGCUCAAGGAGCGCUGACCUCGGCGUCGAAAACUCGGGGCUCAGACGACAACGCCGAUCCGAAGCCCCGGCGGCAGAUCCACGCGGNNNNNNNNNNNNNNNNNNNNNNNNNNNNNNNNNNNNNNNNNNNNNNNNNNNNNNNNNNNNNNNNNNNNNNNNNNNNNNNNNNNNNNNNNNNNNNNNNNNNNNNNNNNNNNNNNNNNNNNNNNNNNNNNNNNNNNNNNNNNNNNNNNNNNNNNNNNNNNNNNNNNNNNNNNNNNNNNNNNNNNNNNNNNNNNNNNNNNNCAUACGCAGCCGCCCCGCAAGUGGCCGACGAAAGCUUGGAGGAUUGUAGAGAGGAGGGAAGAGAGAAGGGGAACGCGGCGCCGUGGACUGGAGCACGGUCGCGUGGGUGUGUGUGUGGCUGGAGCAGGGAGAAGAGGCGAAGUGGAUAAGGCACGCAGUGGGAGAUAGCUCUCGGUGUGGAUUGCUUUUUUAGUUGGCUGCACCGACCAGAAGCUCCUAGAUGUUGCUAUACGUGCCAGCACCGAAUGCAUUUUAUUUUUCUUCUAAAUGAGCACCAAUAUAAUAAUUGGUAAUAAUUGGUUACUGUUGUUUGUUGACACUGUUAUAGUUUAAUUUUUAUGCCUACCACAUCUUAUGAAUACAUCAUGUGAUAUACAAUAAUUAAAAAUGAGUAAAAUAUUUGAAUAAAUAGUUCUUAAGGAAGAAGAUAUUUGGAGCUCACCGGGACUUGGCAAUUAAGAUAUUCCCCAACUCUGGAUGUUACCGACAUCGUUGGUGAGAUAAGAAGGAGAGAGAGGGUUGGAUGAAGAGUGAUCACGAUGCAUCUUGAAGUUUACCUUUUUUUUCUAGACAAUCCAAUUGAAAUUUACAUGUGAUGGGUAACACAGAAAAGCUUGCUUUUUUAUGGUGAUGUUGGCCAAGUUCAAAUAAUGCAAAAGAAAAGGAACAAAAUAUAAUCUUGCAAAACAAAUAACCAACAUUAUCUCUUUGCUUUCGAAUAUUAACAAAAAAUUUGUAUAAACAAUCCCAAUUCAAUGCACCAUUACUCUUUCGCCCAACAAAAUCUUUUGAAAAUUCUACAAAAACUUUUGAAUUAGUUAUUAAACCCUCGAAUAGUAUACAACAAUCCCAUCGUCUGUAUAUCCGGCUAGAAACAAAUACAACAUUCCUCUUCCAGCCGAUGACAGUGCUAAGCUGAAGGAGGCGCCAUCCAAGGACAUCCCUACGACUUUCUCAACUUUAUACUACAUAGUAUGGGCAUCGAGUGUGUUUUUUUUUAAAUCGCGUACCUUUUCUUGUUUUAAAAAAAACAUGUUUUUAAAUAUAUAUAUAUGUUUAAAAAAGAUCUUAGAAUCCCCCAAAAAUGUUUUAAUUAAAAUUAUAUUUAAAAAUUCUCGUUCAGAAAAACAUGUGUAAAGAAUGUUCAUUUUCAAAACAUGUUUCAGUUCUGCUAAAAGAUUAAAAAUUCAAAUUGUUUAAUUAUUUUAAAAUAAUAAAAUGUUUGUGUUUUCCCAAAAAUAAAAUAUAGAACCGAUUACUAGACUAUUCCAUGCACCCCUACCCUUCCAUCAAAUGAAGGAUGUUAGGGUGGCUUCUUUGCGUCCAUACUUCAUACUUCAAAAAAUGAACAGUAUAAACUUAUUACUUAUGUUUAUCAGAACUGUAUAUAAGAAAUGGCGCGUACUAUCACACGGAGCAGGUUUUACGAUAUUUUUCUCCCGUUGCAACGCACGGACCCUUUUUGCUAGUUACAUUUAAAGGGUCGAGGUCAUACUAUUUUUGAAAGUUCAGUGCCCAAGUCCACAAUGCAAAGACAUAGAGGAUUUACUUCAGUUUGUAGCAGAAGCCCAAUAACUUAGAAUCGUCAGCCUGCAUAUAUCAAAAACAAAGCUAGGGAAAUACUUUUGUGAUUUGAAAAACUGAUAUCAUAUAGAAGAAACAACAGAAGUUGUACCAAAUCAUUAGUUUGGUUAAGAAAUCAGCAAACACAUAACACUGGCAUUGGUUCGCCAUGAACCGUGGUAUUGAAAGAGGUACUAUUCUUCUUCCUUUUACCUUUUCCUUUCUAGAAUAAAUAAUCUUGGUCUAGACAUUUUUUUACAUAACCACAACAAUAGGAAAUUAUAGAAACUGAAUCAUGUAGGAAAGUUGCAUAUUCUUUGAAUAUCAUGCAACGUUUUCCUCACCAGAGAAGAGGUGGAGAAGCUGUUGCCAACCAGAGUGCCCAUGGCGGCUCUCUGGGAAAUUCAUACAGGCACACAACGUAAGAAGCAUAGUAAUAGGAUAGGAGUGGCCGAUAAUUAAAUAUGACCACUAUCAUGUGCAUUGGCAGGAUCAAAAUAUGAUUUCAGUCAAUCCUAUCCAUUUGUUUCCAUUAUUUCUGAAGCGGUCAAUAAAGCUCAAGCCCUUAAUGCGAAAACAAUGGAAGAUCUGUUUAUGCACUUCUUUAUCCUUUAAGAGAACACUUCUAGUGUGUUCUGUUGCUUCGCAACGGUAAGCAACAGUAAUUGAACUCAGCAAUAAGGAGGUAAAAAGAUUAUCUUCUCGAUGAGGCCAAGCCAUAGCAGAAUGAAUAAGAUCUCCAAAACCCAACAAAUCAUAAACGAAUUUAAAGAACUCAUAAGUGAACCAUGGAGAUAUAAAUGGGAUAUGUAAUCACCUUGAAAUGUAAAAGAUCUUACAGGAUUUGGAGAGUAAAAGGAACUUACAAAUGAUUGGCUACAAUCAAGCAUUGGUGGGGGAGCAACAGUCUCUGGGUUCCCCAUAGAUAAAAGCGGCUUUACAUGUGCUGAUCAUUGUCAUUGUCUGAAACAAAAAGGGUGUUACUGUUAGCAUGAAGAUAUAAUCGCAUCAAUUCACCUCACUGUAAAUGGGGCUUGGGCGACGUGAACAUCAUCAGAGAAAAGAGCCACUAAUAAAGCAAAAGACCUACCAGAAGUUCUAGUUUACAGAGAUAAUCUUCUCUUCAUCUUUUGAGAAAACACAAAUGACGAGUUUAGGCAUUGGUAAGAAGCAUAGUAAUAGGAUAGGAGUGGCCGAUAUAUUGCGCAUCUGUUACCACCUAGUUGCUCAAUCCCUUUGGUGGAAAGUGUAAAAGAAACUUACUUGCAUUAGGCCGUCGGGAAGCAGAAGAGGAACGGCGGGCGGCGGGGCGGACGCCAAGCUGGGCGGUCGGG
rnacentral:lncRNA from 1 species